GAUGAACGCUGGCGGCGUGCCUAAUACAUGCAAGUCGAGCGAAUGGAUUAAGAGCUUGCUCUUAUGAAGUUAGCGGCGGACGGGUGGGUAACACGUGGGUAACCUGCCCAUAAGACUGAGAUAACUCCGGGAAACCGGGGCUAAUACCGGAUAAUAUUUUGAACUGCAUGGUUCAAAAUUGAAAGGCGGCUUCGGCUGUCACUUAUGGAUGGACCCGCGUCGCAUUAGCUAGUUGGUGAGGUAACGGCUCACCAAGGCAACGAUGCGUAGCCGACCUGAGAGGGUGAUCGGCCACACUGGGAAUGAGACACGGCCCAGACUCCUACGGGAGGCAGCAGUAGGGAAUCUUCCGCAAUGGACGAAAGUCUGACGGAGCAACGCCGCGUGAGUGAUGAAGGCUUUCGGGUCGUAAAACUCUGUUGUUAGGGAAGAACAAGUGCUAGUUGAAUAAGCUGGCACCUUGACGGUACCUAACCAGAAAGCCACGGCUAACUACGUGCCAGCCGCCGCGGUAA
rnacentral:rRNA from 1 species